AACAAAAUAUGCACGCACUGAUUUUGACCUUGCUGGCCAAGUUUCAGCUUUCAGAGCUCAGCAGCAUCUCUAAUGGCGGAAACUAGCCGACCCUGGUUUCUAGAGUCUGUUCCUCUUCUCGUGAUGGUUCUCAUGGCUGCUCAUCUCUCAGCUUUGAUUUAUUGGAUGUACAAAUUAGCUUCUCAAAAGCCAGACCCUCGUAGAAAAACCCAUUAAGGAGUGUUGUUGAAGGUGUCGAAUCAAAUGAACCAGUCUACUGUUUUUUCUCGCCAUGCUAAAAAGUUUUCUUUCUCAUUAAACGGCAGUUGAAUGAUGUUCAAAUUGAUUGCUUGUAUUAUGUCAGUUCUGCAUUUUUGUCCUAUGUUCGAUAAUCGCUGAAGUGGUUUAACGCUACAAAUUGUAAGCCAUAUGAAGGAGUGAGAUAAACUAAGAAACACGAAAAGACUUUACAUGUACCUUUAGCUUGAAUAUUUUCUCUGUGAAUUGAAGUAAAUAUAUUUACUUCAGUUGCUCUUGUGUGUUUUUGAACAAAAGGCAGGUAAACUAUCUUUCUUAUUGUAAUAAGGGAAUUGUCUUCAUCCAUUU